rnacentral:lncRNA from 1 species
CAUAAAUCUGAGAAACGUGAGUUUGUCAUCAUUUUUUAUCUAGACAUAGGAUAGGUUGUGUGAAAAUAUUACUGAUGUUUAACGUUAAAAAUGGACCAAAAGAUUAAUGCUAAACAACAUUUGACAUGUUUGAACGAACAUAAAUAGAUUAUUUACUAGGUUUUUUAGCUUUUCGGCGUGAUUUUACCAGCCCCCCAACCACGUUUUGUGGGAGCAUAAUGAACGCUAAGUACUUGGUGUUAUUUGGACAUAAAUUAUGAACUUUGUCAAAAGAAACCACAUUUGUUCCGGACCUGGAAUGCCUUCCGGACCUGGGAUCCUGCCUUCUGAUGGAGAUAAUCAAAGCACUUAAAUCUGGUAUCCACACCUCCGGGCCAUCCAAUAUCCUGUACUUUCCUUUUUCCUACAGCAAAGGAAGGAAGGAAGCUCUGGCGCUGGCAGGUGGAGUCAAGGCAUUAGAACGCACCAGAGGCCACCAAAAUAGAGCUCCUUUGGCCAAAAAAAAUGAACCCAGAAGGGGCUGCCAGUGGGAGCCUGGCUGGCUACUUUUUCUAUUUG